rnacentral:rRNA from 1 species
CGUGUGACUAAACCUCGCCUGAUUUUGUCUGAUCUCAGAAGCUAAGCAUUGCCAGGCCUGGUUAGUACUUGGAUGGGAGACCACGAGGAAUACCAGGUGCCACAGUGG